UUUCGGGUCUUUUCCGAGGUCACAUCUGUCUGAGAGU
rnacentral:rRNA from 1 species